AAUGAACGCUGGCGGCGCGCCUAAUACAUGCAAGUCGAGCGAGAAGACGUAGCAAUACGUUUGUAAAGCGGCGAACGGGUGAGGAAUACAUGGGUAACCUACCCUCGAGUGGGGAAUAACUAGCCGAAAGGUUAGCUAAUACCGCGUACGCUCCUUGGACUUCGGUUCAGGGAGGAAAGCGAUACCGUGGGUAUCGCGCUCUUGGUUGGGCUCAUGUCCUAUCAGCUUGUUGGUGAGGAACGGCUCACCAAGGCUUCGACGGGUAGCUGGUCUAAGAGGACGAUCAGCCACACUGGCACUGCGACACGGGCCAGACUCCUACGGGAGGCAGCAGUAAGGAAUA
rnacentral:rRNA from 1 species